UACAGAGGGUGCGAGCGUUAAUCGGAAUUACUGGGCGUAAAGAGCGCGUAGGCGGCCCUGUAAGUCCGCUGUGAAAGUCAAGGGCUCAACCCUUGAAUGCCGGUGGAUACUGCAGGGCUGAGAAGUCCGGAAGAGGCGAGUGGAAUUCCUGGGUGUAGCGGUGAAAUGUGUUGAUAGUUGGAAAGGAACGCCGGUGGCGAAAGCGACACACUGGACCUUGUCUGACGGCUGAGGCACGGAAAGCC
rnacentral:rRNA from 1 species